UGGGGAAUCUUGCGCAAUGCGCGAAAGCGUGACGCAGCAACGCCGCGUGGGGGAAGAAGGCCUUCGGGUUGCAAACCCCUUUCAGGAGGGACGAAGCCCGGGCGGUUAAUAGCCGACCCGGGUGACGGUACCUCCAGAAGAAGCCCCGGCUAACUACGUGCCAGCAGCCGCGGUAACACGUAGGGGGCAAGCGUUGUCCGGAAUCAUUGGGCGUAAAGCGCGUGUAGGCGGUCCGGUAAGUCGGCUGUGAAAGUCCAGGGCUCAACCCUGGGAUGCCGGUCGAUACUGCCGGGCUAGAGUUCGGAAGAGGCGAGUGGAAUUCCCGGUGUAGCGGUGAAAUGCGCAGAUAUCGGGAGGAACACCAAUGGCGAAGGCAGCUCGCUGGGACGUUACUGACGCUGAGACGCGAAAGCGUGGGGAGCAAACAGGAUUAGAUACCCUGGUAGUCCACGCCGUAAACGAUGGGCACUAGGUGUGGGAGGUGUCGACUCCUCCCGUGCCGGAGCUAACGCAUUAAGUGCCCCGCCUGGGGAGUACGGCCGCAAGGCUAA
rnacentral:rRNA from 1 species